rnacentral:lncRNA from 1 species
ACAAACCAUAGUUUAAUACAGUCCCAAAAUUACAACUAGAACCUAUACAAACUUAACUCUGAACAUUUGAACUUUGAAACUUACUAAAGAAUAGAAUGCUAAUGCUAAUACUUAAUCACAACUAGAAAACAAUAAUUACUAAAACAAUUGACAUAGUAGAUACUAAACGAAAUAAAACUGGAUCUGAAAAGUCCAUUCCCAUUUAAACACUGUUAGCACUUAAACUUGUCAUUUCAGGGGUUGUGAAAAUACCUGGAUACAGCCAAAAAACAACAAAAAAACUUCACCAAAAGAUAGUGAGAUCAGCAGAGCUUUAGCAGCAAUACAACCAGUUUAAUCCAUGUUUAGAACCCAAAAAAAACUUGCAAAGUAUUGAAGCUCUUUUUAAAACUCAGAAAAAUGAAAAUCAGCUACCCAAUAUAACAGUAUUCGAGCCCUUUUAUUGGUGUUUUUCAGUUCUGAAAGUUCUAUCAGUGUGUGUAUUUUCAAUGAAAGAAAUAGUGCUCUUAUAAGCCUCCAAGGGGCCAUGUGCUGGAUAACCAACAAGGAAAUAUUCCCUUCCAGCCUGAAAAUGGCAUCUUUUUUAACCACCUGGGACAACUGGCUGUCCCCUAUUGGUUCAGCAUUUUGUUGCAAACCAAAUGAGGCCUUGCCCCCUAUUCUAGAGCCUUCCAAAUAGAAAAUAUCUGGAAAUCCUUGUUCUUAUUUCCCAACUUAAACUCCUAAGUUUUCAGUUGUUCAAUUACCCCCCCCCCCUCCCCCCCCCCCCCAAAGUUAUAAUGAUUAUAGACUAAUGCAAACAAAACAAAAAAUCUGAAUCAAAACAAGGAAGAUCAAAAUGGAGCAAAAAUUCUAAUUCACUUGAGCUUUCAACUAAACCUAACUUUUUACUCAGAUAUUGGAAUCCAAAUGAAACAAGGAUAUAACCCGUAUUUACUUAACACUAAUCACAAACAAAUACAAUUAACCUAACUAAUUCAUGCAAGCUAAUACAUAAAACAAUUAUGCAAACUGAAUCCGUUAACUAGCUUAGCCCAAAUCAUUUUGAACUUUCUAACCCUAACUAAUUAGCCUAUGAGAUUCAAACGAGAUUAAACUAACCAAUUACUAAAAGAAAGAACAUAGAUGAAUGGCUUUGAAUUGACACGGACAAACAGAUGAGUUACAUUGAUCAUAGAAUGAGAACAUCAAAGAGAAAGAAGAAGAAAAGGACAGGAAAAAAAGAAGAAAUAAAGUUGAAGCAAGAGAGAAAAUUACCUAUGUUAGCAUCUGGAUCCACAAGACACCUGACCAAUUUUCUUCAAAGAGCGAAAUGAACCAUUAACUAACAUUAAUGGACUGUCCUUGACAAAGAUAGUCGAUUAAUGUAAGUUUGGGGUUCACUCGACCACCUACUGACCAAGAACAGAAGGAAGGGAAAUUUAGGGUUUUUUCCGGAACCCUAGAUUCAAAAUUCGACAGAGUUAGGGUUGAUUUGGGAGGAGCCAAGGGGAUAUUUGGGAAGAGGAGGGGUGAGGGGUUGCAUGAUGUGAGUUUGGGGUUAUUUGGGGUGAGUUAGAGUUUUGGGGAUUCUGAGUUUAGAUUCAAGAUUCGAAAGGUUCGAGGGGGAUUUGGGGAAAAAACUAAGAGAUUUGGAAAGAGGAAGGCGAGGAGAUUAUAUGGUGUAAUUUUGGUGGUGUUUGGAGGUGGUCCGCCGCCGUGAGGCGAUUUCCGGCCGGCGGACCAUGGCAGAGACGGUGGAGUAAAAUAGGGUGGCUAGGGUUCCAGUCUCUAAGAUUUGAGAGAGGAGAGUAAAAUGAGUUUGAGGGAACCGAGUUUCGGACAUAUUUAUGUAGAAUACGAGACCAAUUCUCAUCCGUUAGAUUCAUGAUGAUCAACGACUGGGAUCUAAAGGGGGUUAAUACGGGGUCGUUUUGGAUGGAGAGGGAUUUGGACCGGGUAGAGCUGGGUUUUUGGCUUGGAGUGGACUAGUUUUUGAACGGGUUUUGGGGCA